CCCCCCUCAGGGUUACACCUGGAGGGUUUCCAGUACUCUACCAGUCUCUACUAUGGCGGGGAGAGUCAAGCAGAGGCAUACGCAUUCCAUUCCUAGCUUGGGCAGUGGCUAGUGAGUGGAAGGCCAUCUGCUACAAGA
rnacentral:snoRNA from 1 species